rnacentral:rRNA from 1 species
UACGUAGGGCGCAAGCGUUGUCCGGAAUCAUUGGGCGUAAAGAGCUCGUAGGUGGUCUGUUACGUCUGCUGUGAAAUCCUAGGGCUUAACCCUGGGCCUGCAGUGGAUACGGGCAGACUAGAGGUAGGUAGGGGAGAAUGGAAUUCCCGGUGUAGCGGUGAAAUGCGCAGAUAUCAGGAAGAACACCAAUGGCGAAGGCAGCUCUCUGGGACGGUACUGACGCUGAGACGCGAAAGCGUGGGGAGCGAACAGG